UUUAAAAGGAAUUUUGGAGGGACACAAACAUUUAGUCUAUAGCACUCUACAAAUGUGAGUUGCCACAGCUGAGCCUGGCAGGUUGCAAACCCACUGGCAUCAAUGUGAAACAUUGGGAUGAGUAAAAUGUCCACACAGUGUGCAAAUUCUGCAUCUGGACACGCAUAUGGAUACAGAGAAGCCAAACCAUCACCCCUGUCGCAGACCCAGGAAGUAAAUCAAACAUUUGCAUCUGGGAUGGAAAACUCUGCUCCUUGAUUUGUUUGUGAAAACUGUCUUUCAUGAAUAAGAGAUCAAACCUGAUGCAGCCUGAGCUGAGCCAGCCAGGAAGGGAAUGUGGUGAAUUAUAAAUCCUCCAAGAGAAGAAAAAAGUCUGCACAACUCUCUCAAGCAAAACCAUGACGACGAAGGAAGAACCUUCACCACCGGGGAGCCUAAACAAUGUGCUGCCCAGAGGCUGUCCUGCCAACAGGAAUGGAUCACGCCACUAAGUUCAACAACCACCUGGAUCAAAUAGAUUUCUGAAUUGGCCAGUUAUCUGACUAAACCAGGACUGGCUCACCACCCAGCUACAUCAGGAUGAAUGGCAGCUCUUGACUGAGAACAUCUUCUGAAGUGACCCUGGUAGUAUGAAGUUAUUUUAAAUCUGUGAUAUCUCAUCUGUUUAGCAAUCAAAAAUGAGCUCGACGGCCCCUCCCAGACCGUAUAAUAGGCUGGCUGUUCAAGGAGCACUAGGUAAUGAGCUUUCUCUUUCUUCCCAAAAGGUGUGAGAUGAGAUCAGAGAGAAAAGGCAACAGUGCCCAGGUGGAAUGGGAAAGCUCAGUCCACACUUGGCAAUGGAACCCCAUGUCAGUGGACCCAAAGACUGAGGCAAAAUUAGACAGGAAACAAUUUGUCUUUACCCACUACCCACUCCACCUUGUGUUAUAGCUUCAGCCUUUAUUGAUCUCCAAAUGUGUAGGGCUCCCAAUCUUGAAAUCUCCUUUCAUUGCCCUAUAUCUCACUCCACAGUGCCCCAGCUUUCAUUUUGCUAGUCUGAUAAGAAAAAUACACAUUCACAUGUUAGUUAAUGAACUAAUGUUAGUUAAUGACCUAACUACCUUGAAUAAUAAAUUGCUCUUUCUUUGACAUUUCCCAAUGGGUGUUCCAUUGAAUUUGUGUUUAUUUUUCCUCAUCAUUCCUUCCCCAGAAACUAGCAUAGUUCCAGGCAUCUUGUAGGUUCUCAAUAAAUAUUUACAGAAAGAAUAAAAUAAUAGAACAUUAUGUGAAUUAAAGGACUUAAAUUAGGUUUGACUGUGAGUAACAGAAAUUCAAAAUAUCAGUGGUUUAAACUAACUCAAAUUUAUUUCUCUCUCAUAUAAAUGUCUAGAGGUUUGCAGUUCAAGGCUCACACAGUGGUUCUGCUUCAUAAGAAAAUAGAGCAAAUCAAGAAAGAAACUGUGGAAAAGCCACUCUUUUUAGAAGUUUUGCAGGUCCUUCUGGUUGUGCUAUAUGGGACACCACCUCAACAUGGCUUGAUGAACGGUGCCAUUUCUGCGCCCAGGAUCUCAACAGCAAAAACCCUGGGCCGCCAAAGCGGAGUGCACGGACCUAAACACUCGGCCACAGGAGGGCAGACAUAAAGGAAUGUGUUCAAUCCACCACAUUGAAUUCAAGCCUCCCGAGAUUCGUUUCAAAAUAACAGAUAUCACUAUUCUCUACUGGGGACCCAGAACCAAAGGAGGACUAAGAUCCAGUACUAGGCCCUAAUAUACCACGAAAAAACUCAUGCCAGAAAGCACACAUGUGAUAAUAAAAACAAAGAUUCUGCCUACAAAUUUACUACUUAAAAAAUAUACAUUUCAAGUAAAUUAUCUCAUUCGAUAUUUACAGAGUCUCUUAAAGAUAGAUUUUAGUUUUAUUAGCGUGUUAUGCAUGAGGAAAUUGAGGUUCAGAGAUACCAAAUGACCGCUCAGGAUAUCAUGGUCAGUAAAAGCUGGGGGUUGACUCCAGGCUUUCUAACUCCCAAUGCUGUAAAAUUUCUAAAGUAAAAAACACAAAUCCCCAGUUUGAGGAAGACAUGGUGUAACCUUUAGGGUUAAGUAUUCUUGGUUCCUUUUUUGGCAACCAAAAACUCCCCCUGAAGACUCUCAUUGGUGUUCUCUGUGGUUCUGAUCAUCAUUCUUGAUCUAGUACCCCCCUCUGUAGAAUUCAUCCCUGAACGUCUGUUCUUUUCAUCUCUAUGCUUCUUCGACUCAGAAUUUUAAAGGUCCUGAUGGCUUCCAUACUUAUUUCUCAUGCCCCCUACUUCAUACCCACUCUACUGGAGGCUAGAAGAUGUUGCAGGAAGAGCCAAGGGACCCUAAUCCCAACUCUGUCAUCAACU
rnacentral:lncRNA from 1 species